rnacentral:rRNA from 1 species
UACGAAGGGGGCUAGCGUUGCUCGGAAUCACUGGGCGUAAAGCGCACGUAGGCGGAUUGUUAAGUCAGGGGUGAAAUCCUGGAGCUCAACUCCAGAACUGCCUUUGAUACUGGCGAUCUUGAGUCCGGGAGAGGUGAGUGGAACUGCGAGUGUAGAGGUGAAAUCCGUAGAUAUUCGGAAGAACACCAGUGGCGAAGGCGGCUCACUGGCCCGGUACUGACGCUGAUGUGCGAAAGCGUGGGGAGCAAACAGG